GACGAACGCUGGCGGCACGCUUAACACAUGCAAGUCGAACGAGAGAAGAGAAGCUUGCUUUUCUGAUCUAGUGGCGGACGGGUGAGUAACACGUGAGCAAUCUGCCUUUCAGAGGGGGAUACCGAUUGGAAACGAUCGUUAAUACCGCAUAAUAUAAUUGAACCGCAUGAUUUGAUUAUCAAAGAUUUAUCGCUGAAAGAUGAGCUCGCGUCUGAUUAGCUAGUUGGUAAGGUAACGGCUUACCAAGGCGACGAUCAGUAGCCGGACUGAGAGGUUGAUCGGCCACAUUGGGACUGAGACACGGCCCAGACUCCUACGGGAGGCAGCAGUGGGGAAUAUUGCACAAUGGAGGAAACUCUGAUGCAGCGAUGCCGCGUGAGGGAAGAAGGUUUUAGGAUUGUAAACCUCUGUCUUCGGGGACGAAAAAAAGACGGUACCUGAGGAGGAAGCUUCCGGC
rnacentral:rRNA from 1 species